AUGGAUCCGCAACAGCCGGAGCCUGUCAGCUAUCUGUGCGGAGAUUGCGGAGCUGAGAACACACUCAAGACAGGGGAUGUGAUCCAGUGCCGUGAAUGUGGUUACCGCAUCCUGUACAAGAAGCGCACCCGUCGGAUUGUUCAAUAUGAAGCUCGCUGA
rnacentral:rRNA from 1 species